rnacentral:rRNA from 1 species
UGAGGAAUAUUGGGCAAUGCCCGAAAGGGUGACCCAGCAACGCCGCGUGGAGGAUGAAGGUCGUAAGAUUGUAAACUCCUGUUAGAGGGGAAGAAUAACUAAGUUUGGAGCUUAGUAUGACUGUACCCUCAGAGAGAGCCCCGGCUAACUACGUGCCAGCAGCCGCGGUAAUACGUAGGGGGCAAGCGUUGUCCGGAUUUACUGGGUGUAAAGGGCGCGCAGGCGGAAUGGAAAGUCAGUGGUGAAAUCCUACAGCUUAACUGUAGAACUGCCUUUGAUACUUUCAUUCUUGAGUUCGGGAGAGAGAGACGGAAUUCCAGGUGUAGUGGUGAAAUACGUAGAUAUCUGGAAGAACACCAGUUGCGAAGGCGGUCUCUUGGUCCGAUACUGACGCUGAGGCGCGAAAGCGUGGGGAGCAAACA